rnacentral:rRNA from 1 species
UACGUAGGGCGCAAGCGUUGUCCGGAAUUAUUGGGCGUAAAGAGCUCGUAGGCGGUUUGUCGCGUCUGCUGUGAAAACCUAAGGCUCAACCUUGGGCUUGCGGUCGAUACGGGCGGGCUAGAGUUCGGUAGGGGAGACUGGAAUUCCUGGUGUAGCGGUGAAAUGCGCAGAUAUCAGGAAGAACACCGGUGGCGAAGGCGGCUCUCUGGGCCUUACCUGACGCUGAGGAGCGAAGGCGUGGGUAGCGAACAGG